GCUCUGUGUCCUCUGCUCCUAGAGGCCAAGCCUAUGUGUCCUUGUGUCCUGCAGGUAUCUGCAGAUUUAUGGCUAAAAGACCGGGACCCCCUGGAAGCCGGGAAAUGGGACUGUUGACAUUCAGAGACAUAGCUAUAGAAUUCUCUCUGGAGGAAUGGCAAUGCCUGGAUUGUGCUCAGCGGAAUUUAUAUAGACAUGUGAUGUUAGAGAACUACAGAAACUUGGUCUCCCUGGUUACGCAUUCCCAUUUCACCCAAGACCUUCAGCCAGAGCAGGGCAUCAAAGAUUCACUCCAAAAAGUAAUACCAAGAACAUAUGGAAAAUGUGGACAUGAGAAAUUACAAUUUAAAAAAUGCUGUAAAAGUGUGGGUGAAUGUGAGGUGCCCAAAGAGGUUAUAGUGAAGUUAACCAAUGUUUGUCAACUACCCAAAACAAAAUAUUUCAGACUCAUAAAUAUGUCAAAGUCUUUGGUAAAUUUUCAAAUUCCAAUAGAGAUAAAACAAGAUAUACUGGAAAGAAACAUUUCAAAUGUAACAAAUAUGGCAAAUCAUUUUGCAUGCUUUCACACCUAAAUCAACAUCAGGUAAUUCAUACUAGGGAGAAGUCCUACAAAUGCAAAGAAUGUGGCAAAUCCUUUAACUGCUCCUCAAACCAUACUACACAUAAAAUAAUUCAUACUGGAGAGAAACCAUAUAGAUGUGAGGAAUGUGGCAAAGCCUUUAGCUGGUCCGCAAACCUUACUAGACAUAAGAGAAUUCAUACUGGAGAGAAACCCUACACAUGUGAAGAAUGUGGCCAAGCCUUUAGGCGCUCCUCAGCACUUACUAACCACAAGAGAAUUCAUACUGGAGGGAGACCCUACAAAUGUGAAGAAUGUGGCAAAGCCUUUAGCGUAUCCUCAACCCUCACUGACCACAAGAGAAUUCAUACUGGAGAGAAACCCUGCAGGUGUGAGGAAUGUGGCAAAGCCUUUAGCUGGUCCUCAAACCUUACUAGACAUAAGAGAAUUCAUACUAGAGAAAACCCUAUGCCUGUGAAGAAUGUGGCCAAGCCUUUAGCUUAUCCUCGAACCUUACUAGACAUAAGAGAAUUCAUACUGGAGAGAAACCCUACACAUAUGAAGAAUGUGGCCAAGACUUUAGGCGCUCCUCAGCACUUACUAUCCACAAGAGAAUUCAUACUGGAGAGAGACCCUACAAAUGUGAAGAGUGUGGCAAAGUCUUUAGCUUAUCCUCAACCCUCACUGACCACAAGAGAAUUCAUACUGGAGAGAGACCCUACAAAUGUGAAGAAUGUGGCAAAGCCUUUAGCUUAUCCUCAACCCUCACUGACCACAAGAGAAUUCACACUGGAGAGAGACCCUACACAUGUGAAGAAUGUGGCAAAGCCUUUAAUUGCUCCUCAACCCUUAUGCAACAUAAGAGAAUUCAUACUGGAGAGAAACCCUACAAAUGUGAAGAAUGUGACCAAGCUUUUAAGUGGCAUUCAAGUCUUGCUAAACAUAAGAUAAUUCACACUGGAGAGAAACCCUACAAAUGUGAAUAAUGUGGCAAAGUCCACCCUCAGGCCUUAUAAUACAUAAAAUAAUUUACACUGGAAAAAAACACUACAAAUGUAGAGAAUGUGGCCAAGCCUUUAACCAGUUCCAAACCUUAAUUGAACGUAAGAGAAUUCAUAUUGGACAGAAAUUUUAUAAAUGUAAAAAAAUGUAACAAAGCCUUUAACCAACCCUCAAACCUUAAUAAACCUAAGAGAAUUUAUUUUAAAAAAA